CGCGUAGGCGGGAAUGCAAGUCAGAUGUGAAAACUCCGGGCUCAACUUGGAGAUUGCAUUUGAAACUGUGUUUCUUGAGGGCAGGAGAGGAAAGUGGAAUUCCUAGUGUAGCGGUGAAAUGCGUAGAUAUUAGGAGGAACACCAGUGGCGAAGGCGACUUUCUGGACUGUACCUGACGCUGAGGCGCGAAAGCGUGGGUAGCAAACG
rnacentral:rRNA from 1 species